rnacentral:tRNA from 1 species
GCAGCUUUAGCUCACUUGGGAGAGCGCCAGGUAAGCCCAUCCUCAGCAAUCUCGUAUUCCUCUCCGGAACACCGAACUAACAGCUCGCCCAUCAGACUGAAGCCCACUUCAGCCCCAACCAUCACAAUCUGUGCGGUAUCUGGAGGUACUGUGUUCGAUCCACAGAAGCUGCA